rnacentral:tRNA from 1 species
GCCCGGCUGGCACAAUCGGUAGCGCGUGAGACUCUUAAUCUCAAGGUUGUGGGUUCAAGCCCCACGUCGGGCU